UUUUCAAACCGGUGUAAGCCAGGUCGGUUUCUAUCCCCAAUUUUAUUAUAAUUUUUAGUACGAAAGGACCACUAUUGUGAAAAUUUUUUUCUUUUUGGUUAAAGUU
rnacentral:rRNA from 1 species